rnacentral:rRNA from 2 species
UUAAAUUGAAGAGUUUGAUCAUGGCUCAGAUUGAACGCUGGCGGCAGGCCUAACACAUGCAAGUCGAACGGUAACAGAAAGCAGCUUGCUGCUUUGCUGACGAGUGGCGGACGGGUGAGUAAUGUCUGGGAAACUGCCUGAUGGAGGGGGAUAACUACUGGAAACGGUGGCUAAUACCGCAUAACGUCGCAAGACCAAAGAGGGGGACCUUCGGGCCUCUUGCCAUCAGAUGUGCCCAGAUGGGAUUAGCUUGUUGGUGAGGUAACGGCUCACCAAGGCGACGAUCCCUAGCUGGUCUGAGAGGAUGACCAGCCACACUGGAACUGAGACACGGUCCAGACUCCUACGGGAGGCAGCAGUGGGGAAUAUUGCACAAUGGGCGCAAGCCUGAUGCAGCCAUGCCGCGUGUAUGAAGAAGGCCUUCGGGUUGUAAAGUACUUUCAGCGGGGAGGAAGGUGUUGUGGUUAAUAACCGCAGCAAUUGACGUUACCCGCAGAAGAAGCACCGGCUAACUCCGUGCCAGCAGCCGCGGUAAUACGGAGGGUGCAAGCGUUAAUCGGAAUUACUGGGCGUAAAGCGCACGCAGGCGGUCUGUCAAGUCGGAUGUGAAAUCCCCGGGCUCAACCUGGGAACUGCAUUCGAAACUGGCAGGCUUGAGUCUUGUAGAGGGGGGUAGAAUUCCAGGUGUAGCGGUGAAAUGCGUAGAGAUCUGGAGGAAUACCGGUGGCGAAGGCGGCCCCCUGGACAAAGACUGACGCUCAGGUGCGAAAGCGUGGGGAGCAAACAGGAUUAGAUACCCUGGUAGUCCACGCCGUAAACGAUGUCUACUUGGAGGUUGUGCCCUUGAGGCGUGGCUUCCGGAGCUAACGCGUUAAGUAGACCGCCUGGGGAGUACGGCCGCAAGGUUAAAACUCAAAUGAAUUGACGGGGGCCCGCACAAGCGGUGGAGCAUGUGGUUUAAUUCGAUGCAACGCGAAGAACCUUACCUGGUCUUGACAUCCACGGAAGUUUUCAGAGAUGAGAAUGUGCCUUCGGGAACCGUGAGACAGGUGCUGCAUGGCUGUCGUCAGCUCGUGUUGUGAAAUGUUGGGUUAAGUCCCGCAACGAGCGCAACCCUUAUCCUUUGUUGCCAGCGGUUAGGCCGGGAACUCAAAGGAGACUGCCAGUGAUAAACUGGAGGAAGGUGGGGAUGACGUCAAGUCAUCAUGGCCCUUACGACCAGGGCUACACACGUGCUACAAUGGCGCAUACAAAGAGAAGCGACCUCGCGAGAGCAAGCGGACCUCAUAAAGUGCGUCGUAGUCCGGAUUGGAGUCUGCAACUCGACUCCAUGAAGUCGGAAUCGCUAGUAAUCGUGGAUCAGAAUGCCACGGUGAAUACGUUCCCGGGCCUUGUACACACCGCCCGUCACACCAUGGGAGUGGGUUGCAAAAGAAGUAGGUAGCUUAACCUUCGGGAGGGCGCUUACCACUUUGUGAUUCAUGACUGGGGUGAAGUCGUAACAAGGUAACCGUAGGGGAACCUGCGGUUGGAUCACCUCCUUACCUGAAAGAAGC